GGAGGCAGGCGGUCGGGGAGGAGCGGGGGCAGGGUCUCUUUUGUGAGAAGCCCGGGGUUGGGCCUCCUCGCUGUCCCCCAGGUAGGCACGGCACAAGGCAGCCAGCCGGGUGUGCUGGCACGGACGCCAGGAGCGAGUCGCGGGCUGCACACAGCCCAGCCUGACAAAGCCGCCCGCCCAGCUCCGCCACCGCCCUCUCUCCCUGCAGCGCGGCCGAUGCUGGAGCCACGGAAGAACGGCGCCCCGAAUUUGCUGGACUUGUGUAAACACUGAUCUCAAUCGCACGCUCCUAUCAGGGUGACAAAAGCCACGGAGAAAUUAGUGGCCAUCAUGAGGGGAUAUUCCACAAGCGGAUCCCUAUCAUGAAUGACACAGGGUGGCGAUUUCUGAAUUGGGAGAGCUUGGGGAGGAGGUAAAAGUGGUGAAGCUGAAAUAGCCUUUUUGUUGUUGCUGUUUUAACCAAAGACAAACAUUCCGCAGCGAACGGCCCUGAAAGGGUUCCUUCAACAAAGCAUCCUGUAUCCCCGCGUUGCCCACCCCAGCCGUUGCUGGCAGGCGCUGCUACUGACCAAACUGGGCGCUGGGUGGCUUCUUUGGGUGGAGGGUGGGGCUUCGGUAGACCAGGGAGAGGCCAUUUUCUUUCCAUUUUCCAGCCUCCCUUUCAUUUCGUGUGAACAACUCAGGCGAGUUUUUUCCACCUUCCAGCCGGACGCUGCCUGGGGAGCUGACUGUGCAGCCUCGUGGUUGCCGUGGGCACUGUCUGCUGGACACUGAUGUGGGCACUGACCAAGGAGUGUCUUCGGGCAGCUGGCCCCUCUCUUGCUGCCGACGUCCGUGCUGUCAGCCUAAGGUCUGGGCAAGCCUGCGAAUGUGUCGCCUGCAGAAGACCCAGAGAAGGCCCACACUCCAAGUGCCUGUUUUGGUCCAUAUGGAGGACUUCCUGCUGCCCUGCCUACAGCUUCCUACCACCUGGGGGCCCCAGGUGAGGGUCCCACAACGCCCCACAUCUUUGCAUCAUCGGUGUCUCUACCGCUCCACCCUGGAAGCGUCCACAUUUUAGCAUGAAACGCGCUUGCAGAGGGGUGGCCGCGGCCUGGGGUGGUGGCAUGAAGCCUUGUUCUGGCAGCAGCACCGGGCCUGGGACUUCGCACCCCGCUCUUUUUGCCUUGGGCCUGGCCCGUGUGCUCCUUCCGGCUGCUGUCAGCCAAGCCAGCGCUCCACCUGUUGGCAGCCUUCCCGGAGGACGUCACAGGGGGAUCAUCUGUCUCCCAGAGUGGUGAGAAGUGGGGGCCCAGAGUGACUGCCC
rnacentral:lncRNA from 1 species